UCUGAUGCAAGCAAUGCCGCGUGUAGGAUGAAGCCCCUCGGGGUGUAAACUACUGUCAGGGGUUAGAAAGUGCGCUUCGGCGUAUUGAUCAGCCCCAGAGGAAGCAACGGCUAACUUCGUGCCAGCAGCCGCGGUAAUACGAAGGUUGCAAGCGUUGUUCGGAAUCACUGGGCUUAAAGCGCACGUAGGCGGAAUUCCAAGUGUCUUGUGAAAUCCCUCGGCUUAACCGAGGAAUUGCUCGGCAAACUGGAAUUCUUGAGGCAAGUAGGGGUACAUGGAACUCUUAGUGGAGCGGUGGAAUGCGUAGAUAUUAAGAGGAACGCCAAUGGUGAAGACAGUGUACUGGAACUUGUACUGACGCUGAGGUGCGAAAGCGUGGGGAGCGAACGGGAUUAGAUACCCCGGUAGUCCACGCCGUAAACGAUGUCUACUAGGUUGUGGGAGUUCUGACACUUUCACAGCCGAAGCAAAAGUGUUAAGUAGACCGCCUGGGGAGUACGGUCGCAAGGCUAAAACUCAAAGGAAUUGACGGGGGCUCACACAAGCGGUGGAGCAUGUGGAUUAAUUCGAUGCAACGCGAAAAACCUUACCGGGGCUUGACAUGGUAGAAGUAGGAACCCGAAAGGGUAACGAACGGUAUCCAGUCCGUAGCUAUCACAGGUGUUGCAUGGCUGUCGUCAGCUCGUGUCGUGAGACGUUGGGUUAAGUCCCCUAACGAGCGAAACCCUUGUUUUUAGUUACCAGCGGGUUGUGCCGGGUACUCUAGAAAGACUGCCGUCGUCAAGACGGAGGAAGGUGGGGAUGACGUCAAGUCAUCAUGGCCCUUAUGCCCCGGGCUGCACACGUGCUACAAUGGUCGGUACAAACGGAAGCGAAGCCGAGAGGUGAAGCGAAUCCUAAAAAGCCGAUCUCAGUUCGGAUUGGAGGCUGAAAUUCGCCUCCAUGAAGUUGGAAUCGCUAGUAAUCGCGGAUCAGCAUUGCCGCGGUGAAUAUGUUCCCGAGCCUUGUACACACCGCCCGUCAAGCCACCCAAGCAGGAUGCACCCGAAAACAUUAUAUCUAACCAGGGCAACUUGGAGGAAAAUGUUGAAGGAGUGUUUUGGAGGAGGACUAAGUCGUAACAAGGUAACCA
rnacentral:rRNA from 1 species